UGGAAGAUAAGACCAAAUUGUUACAAAAGAACAAAAAAAAAGGGGAACAUUUGAAGGUACAUUUGCAUUUUUUUAGGUCUAGCACAUAAUUUCAAUGGUGAAAUCAGUUUCUAAGAAGUGCCACUCACCUUAUGUAACCACUUGCUAUAUAGUUAGCAUGAAGCAUGUCAGCUCUGCUAGUAAGGUUGAGUUAAAUCGUGGAAGGUGCUGAAGGUCAUGGUUGCCCCUCAAACAGUUCUCGCUCCUCCAGCAGUGGUCAUGGUUGCAGGAUCUUGCCUGCUUGCUUAACGCACUGCCUUGCCUGCUUGCUUCAAGCUUGUGGGCAGAACCCCUUGCUUAGAAUAAGUGUGGCAGCUGAGUGACACCCAGCACCAAGCCUUAGCCAGCAUCAUCACCACUUCUUAGAAGGUUAAAUACUUUGUGAACAUAGGGGCAACUGCCUACCCACACUCUCAGCCAUCAGAUCGGCACCGGAGGGCUGAGGUUGAGCCACGUCACUUCAGCCCACAGGUGACGUGGCUCAAUCUCAGCCCUCCAGUGCCGAUCCGAUGGCUCAGAGUGUGCCACGUCAUAAGGUGGGCAGCUAGCCCAUAAAAUCCACUUUCCUUCUUAGAAUACUGCUUGAAUCUCAAAGUUGCUUAUGUAUCUUGACCAUUAUAUGUUUGUAGGUAAGAGGUUUACUAAUUGUACCAUAGUAAACAAUCAUUCCUUUUUCAGUUUGGC
rnacentral:lncRNA from 1 species